rnacentral:RNase_MRP_RNA from 1 species
UGAUGCCGACCCUCCUGAUUCUUCGGGGAAGGGAACGGAUCCGGCUCCUCAGUGCACGAAGUGCCACAAUUGCCACUUCGGAAAGUGCCUCGUUUCGAGGACGUAGACUCUGCAAGUGACGAGAAUGAAAACAGUGAUGAGUACCCUUGUGUC